rnacentral:lncRNA from 1 species
GGACAAGGAGCUAAUUUAAACAGCCUCUAGAACAAUUUCACAUGCUUCCUCUCCAAGCUCUUUCAACCAAACUGAAUCUUUUUCACAUCUAUUGCUCUAUGUUUAGCCAAGAUUUUAAUCACACCUUAAUAGAGUUCUUAACUUCCGAAAAGGCAUAAGGGGACAAUCCACAACCAGAAAGAGAAUAUUGCUAUUAUCACUAAUUUAUGUUUUUGUUUGUGUUUUAGAUUUUAUUUAUUUACUCAUGAGAAACACAAAGAUAGAGACAUAGGCAGAGGGAGAAACAGGCUCCCUGGGGGAAGCCUGAUGUGGGACUCUAACCACAGGACCCCGAGAUCAUGACCUGAGCCAAAGGCAGGUAGAUGUUCAACCACUGAGCCACCCAGGUGCCUCAGGAUCACUAAUAUAUGUUUAGAAGAUCAUCUAGAUGUGAAUGCCCUGCCAGAAUGAAGAGAAAAAGCACACAGUGAUGGUUCUUUAUAACAAAGUAACUAGGAUAUUGAUAUAUGCUUUGAUUGCAUUUGAAGCAAAUAAAGAAAAAAUGGAUUUUCUGAGUUCUUCCCUCCCUCUUCAGCAAUAAAAGGUGGGAGAUAAAGUCCAAUCCAACAGAAUCCAAGGCCAUGGAGCGGAGUGACUGAUAACAAAGAAGAUAAGAAAGAAACAGAUGACAGAGUCCUGGAAACAUCAUGGAGUCCUCAAUGAAGGAGUCUUUGGUUUCACUCCCUCACUCCUUUGAGGGGGUAGGCUAGGUUUCUGUGUGUGAACCCAUCUGUCUCAGU